AUUGAACGCUGGCGGCAGGCCUAACACAUGCAAGUCGAACGAGUGGCGGACGGGUGAGUAAUGUCUGGGAAACUGCCCGAUGGAGGGGGAUAACUACUGGAAACGUGAGCUAAUACCGCAUACCAUCGGAUGUGCCCAGAUGGGCUUGGCGAGGAGGUGGGGUAACGGCUCACCUAGGCGACGAUCCCUAGCUGGUCGGGGAGGAUGACCAGCCACACUGGGACUGAGACACGGCCCAGACUCCUACGGGAGGCAGCAGUGGGGAAUUUUUGACAAUGGAGGAAACCCUGAUCCAGCCAGCCCGCGUGUGCGAUGAAGGCCUUCGGGUUGUAAAGCACUUUUGGCAGGAAAGCGGUACCCGCAGAAGAAGCACCGGCUAACUCCGUGCCAGCAGCCGCGGUAAUUC
rnacentral:rRNA from 1 species